rnacentral:rRNA from 1 species
CCUGGUUGAUUCUGCCAGUAGUCAUAUGCUUGUCUCAAAGAUUAAGCCAUGCAUGUCUAAGUAUAAGCAAUUAUACAGCGAAACUGCGAAUGGCUCAUUAUAUAAGUUAUCGUUUAUUUGAUAGUACCUUACUACUUGGACAACCGUGGUAAUUCUAGAGCUAAUACAUGCUAAAAAUCCCGACUCCGGAAGGGAUGUAUUUAUUAGAUUAAAAACCAAUGCCCCCUGGGCUCUCUGGUGAUUCAUAAUAACUUCUCGAAUCGCAUGGCCUUGUGCCGGCGAUGGUUCAUUCAAAUUUCUUCCCUAUCAACUUUCGAUGUUUGGGUAGUGGCCAAACAUGGUUGCAACGGGUAACGGAGGGUUAGGGCUCGACCCCGGAGAAGGAGCCUGAGAAACGGCUACUACAUCCAAGGAAGGCAGCAGGCGCGCAAAUUACCCAAUCCCGAUUCGGGGAGGUAGUGACAAUAAAUACCGAUACAGGGCUCUUUUGGGUCUUGUAAUUGGAAUGAGUACAAUUUAAAUCCCUUAACGAGGAACAAUUGGAGGGCAAGUCUGGUGCCAGCAGCCGCGGUAAUUCCAGCUCCAAUAGCGUAUAUUAAAGUUGUUGUGGUUAAAAAGCUCGUAGUUGAACCUUGGGCCUGGCUGGCCGGUCCGCCUCACCGCGUGUACUGGUCCGGCCGGGCCUUUCCCUCUGUGGAACCCCAUGCCCUUCACUGGGCGUGGCGGGGAAACAGGACUUUUACUUUGAAAAAAGUAGAGUGCUCCAGGCAGGCCUAUGCUCGAAUACAUUAGCAUGGAAUAAUGAAAUAGGACGCGCGGUUCUAUUUUGUUGGUUUCUAGGACCGCCGUAAUGAUUAAUAGGGACAGUCGGGGGCAUCAGUAUUCAAUUGUCAGAGGUGAAAUUCUUGGAUUUAUUGAAGACUAACUACUGCGAAAGCAUUUGCCAAGGAUGUUUUCAUUAAUCAGGAACGAAAGUUAGGGGAUCGAAGACGAUCAGAUACCGUCGUAGUCUUAACCAUAAACUAUGCCGACUAGGGAUCGGACGAUGUUAUUUUUUGACUCGUUCGGCACCUUACGAGAAAUCAAAGUGCUUGGGCUCCAGGGGGAGUAUGGUCGCAAGGCUGAAACUUAAAGAAAUUGACGGAAGGGCACCACCAGGGGUGGAGCCUGCGGCUUAAUUUGACUCAACACGGGGAAACUCACCAGGUCCAGACACAAUGAGGAUUGACAGAUUGAGAGCUCUUUCUUGAUUUUGUGGGUGGUGGUGCAUGGCCGUUCUUAGUUGGUGGAGUGAUUUGUCUGCUUAAUUGCGAUAACGAACGAGACCUUAACCUGCUAAAUAGCCCGUAUUGCUUUGGCAGUACGCCGGCUUCUUAGAGGGACUAUCGGCUCAAGCCGAUGGAAGUUUGAGGCAAUAACAGGUU